rnacentral:rRNA from 2 species
AUGCUAGUCGCACGAGUUCAGACUCGUGGCGAAUAGCUCAGUAACACGUGGCCAAACUACCCUUCGGAACACAAUACCCUCGGGAAACUGAGGCUAAUAGUGUAUACCAUACCACCACUGGAAUGAGUGGUAUGCCAAACGCUCCGGCGCCGAAGGAUGUGGCUGCGGCCGAUUAGGUAGACGGUGGGGUAACGGCCCACCGUGCCAAUAAUCGGUAUGGGUCAUGAGAGUGAGAACCCAGAGACGGAAUCUGAGACAAGAUUCCGGGCCCUACGGGGCGCAGCAGGCGCGAAACCUUUACACUGCACGACAGUGCGAUAGGGGGAUCCCAAGUGCACAGGCAUAGCGCCUGUGCUUUUCGGUACCCUAAGGCGGUACCAGAAUAAGGGCUGGGCAAGACCGGUGCCAGCCGCCGCGGUAAUACCGGCAGCCCAAGUGAUGGCCGAUCUUAUUGGGCCUAAAGCGUCCGUAGCUGGCCGCGCAAGUCCAUCGGGAAAUCCACCUGCUCAACAGGUGGGCGCCCGGUAGAAACUGCGUGGCUUGGGACCGGAAGGCGCGACGGGUACGUCCGGGGUAGGAGUGAAAUCCCGUAAUCCUGGACGGACCGCCGAUGGCGAAAGCACGUCGCGAGAACGGAUCCGACAGUGAGG